CUUCAAACUUCAUGAGGAGCUCCAAAUAAAGUGCUGCUGAGAAGAAUCCUGUUGCCGCGUUGUUCUUGCGGGCCAGACCGGUCGCGACAGGUGAACUCUAGGCACUGUUGAAUGUCACUCCAUGCAAAAAGCUUCCUACUCCUGGGCACUCUUGAGUUUGUCUCAUCUUCUCACCUCUUGAAAAGAAGAGGAGGUGGGAAUCCCUGGAUGCAGGAAGUUGUGACCUGAAAACUGAACAAACCUCCUUGUCUUCACUGUGGUGCAUGUCUCUUUGAUUAAAUACUAUGGCCAAAAGCAACUAGACAACAAUGAAGGUAUUGUCAACUUCUCCAUCACUGACCUGUGUGUACCUAGACGGCUAUCACCAUCGAAGGAAUCAGCGAUAGAAGCUGAUCUAUUGGCAAACACCACUCACAAAUCAGCAAAGGCAGUUUGAUCCAGAAGAAACGGUGAGCCUCUGUCAACUGGCUCAAGUCUGUGGAAGCAGCAAGCCACUAGAACACCACCAGAAGUUCUUUGGUGGCAUCUUUCUCUAUAAAGUCAAGACAAACAAUGACCAACAAAUUGUAAAGCAUACCAAUAUCACGCAAGUCAUCCAUUGUCUGUUCUGUUAUAUUUAUAUCCUUUCUAAACAUCACGUGUUCUGUCAAGUGUCUACUCUAGCAAAGUAUCACAUGGCCCCGUUUCCAGCGAGCUUCUAAAAAACCACCAUGUGUCAAGUCUCAGCGAUAUAUCCUCCCACAUGUCUGCUUCAGCAAAAAAGGUCAUCUCAUAAGACACUUUCCUGAAAUUCAUUUGGGAUUUGCACACUAAAAUAAUUCCAUAAGUCUUGUGUGCUACAUGCAAUUCAAUACAGGUACAAUUUUAAAAGAACUUCUGAUAAGACCAAAAGAGAGCAAGCAUGUAAGGGAGUAUACAUUCUGACCAUACCAGUAGAGCAAUAAAAUGAAAGACCAUGUUGGUCACUGUUUCGCAGCUUUGUGUGAAUACACACAUCUUUUGACCAUUCCAUCCAGGAACAUGAGAUAAAUGAAAAUACAUAUCCAUAAAAAUCAUAUAUCAAAAGAAAAGUUUGAAACAGUCUUACUUAUAAUAGCUAAAAUUGAAAGUAAACAAUAUGGCCACUAAUAAGAAAAGAGAUAAUCAAAUAAAGAUAUAGUCAAAAAUUGAAGACUCAUAUUUGCAUUCUUGUCAUAUAUCCAAAGAAAAUAAGGCACACAUUUCCUCAAAUUGUAAUUUUCAAUACUUGUUGAACAUGAUUUUUCUUCCCAGAUAGGUAGGAAAUUAGCCAGUACAUACACAGGGGUUUUAUACUCAUUUAUACUUAUUACCCCAUGGUAAAUUAUUUCUUUAUUUCUCUUUACAUUUUCUGUUGUAGUUCUAUAACACUUAUUGGUUCUUCUGAACUCCUUGGCUUCCUUUUCAUUUAGUUACAAAGUUAAGAGAUUCCCAAUGAAAAUGACUCAUUCAACCUUGUUCCACUUUACUUCUCGGGAUUCCAAAACAGAGUUGAUAGUUAGCCAUUCUUGCUUCACUCUGGUCUCCUCUAGAUGAUUCCAUCCCGGAGUGUUAUUGGAGCCCUUCACUCUAUCAGUUCAUAUUAUCUGAGGAAAGAGAUCCAGGAAAUAAAAUACACUGAAAUUCUGAAAGCUUUUGUGGUGUUACGUCAGGCAUCUGCAGGUAUGGACAAAGAAUAACCUGUCCAUAUCAUAUUUCUAAUGUAAUUUAUUUACAAAAGAAAGGGUAUUUGCCACUCUUCUCAAGAAUCCUGUCAACUUUUCCUCUUUAGUGGGACCUAUAUUUCUUCUGUGAUAGUUUGUAUUAUUUAGCAAAACUCAUUUCUCUCACUUUGCCACUGGAAGGAGAACAUCUGCCUUCUUGGUGCUUCAUAUUAGGUGUGUUUCAUGUGACCCACCUGUCUGUAGGAAUAACUUUAUAACACAACCAGGAAUCAGUUUUCCCCACUUUCAUGAGAAGAGAAAUACGGUUAAGAAACCUUUCACUGUCAGCAUUAGUGGAGGUAAAAUAAAUGGAGAGGCUCAACCAGCAGACUCAAAUAAAUACCAAGAAAACAUAACCUAACACUGGGGCUUUCUGGGCAGAGUGCUGUCUAGGGCAGGCCAGUGCCACACAAAAGCAUUUGUUGUUAACCCAGGAAGGUGAACCAAUGGCACAUACAGUGUACAAGACAGCUAUGCACAUAGUCCCAAGCACUUACACACAGCAGCUUGCCACAUUGUCAAAAUGUUAGAAUUCCCUAUAGGUACUGAGUUUUAAUGUUUAUGCUUAAGUAGCACUGUUGUCAAAAUAUAUUGUUCACUCCUGUAUCUCCAAAGACACUGUGUAUUCAUCACAGUGCACUAUCCCCAACUGCUUCAAUUUGAUUUGCUAAGGAGGUGCAAUAGUACGAGGGAAAAUAUGUAUAAUUAAAAUAAUUAUAAACAAGUUUAUAAAAAAAUUAUAAAUAAAUAAAGAUUAUAAAUAAAU